UACAGAGGUCUCAACCGUUGUUCGGAUUCAUUGGGCGUAAAGGGUGCGUAGGCGGUCGUGCAAGUCGGAUGUGAAAUCUCAGGGCUCAACCCUGAAACUGCAUUCGAUACUGCGUGGCUAGAGUGCUGGAGAGGAGACUGGAAUUUACGGUGUAGCAGUGAAAUGCGUAGAUAUCGUAAGGAAGACCAGUGGCGAAGGCGGGGUCUCUGGGCCGAUACUGACGCUGAGGAGCGAAAAGCGUGGGGAGCAACAGG
rnacentral:rRNA from 1 species